GCCUACGGCCACACCCCCCUGAAAGUGCCCGAUCUCGUCUGAUCUCGGAAGCGAUGCAAGGUCGGGCCUGGUUAGUACCUGGAUGGGAGACCGCCUGGGAAUACCAGGUGUCGUAGGCUUUUAGACUUUUGCCAGGUCAAAGUUUUGCAGGGUUUUUCUUCAAAGUCUUCAUAGAAGCGUCAAAAGUCAGCAAACCUA
rnacentral:rRNA from 1 species